rnacentral:rRNA from 1 species
CCUACGGGAGGCAGCAGUGGGGAAUAUUGCGCAAUGGGCGAAAGCCUGACGCAGCGACGCCGCGUGAGGGAUGAAGGCCCUCGGAUUGUAAACCUCUGUCAGCAGGGGAGAACGGUCACUGUCCUAAUCAGCUGUGAAUUUACGGUACCUGCACAGGACGCCCCGGCUAACUCCGUGCCAGCAGCCGCGGUAACACGGAGGGUGCGAGCGUUAAUCGGUAUUACUGGUCGUAAAGGGCGCGUAGAUGGUAUGUCAAGUCAAGGGUGAAACCCCCGGGCUCAACGGGGAAACUGCCUUUGAAACUGGCAGACUGGAGUACAGUAGAGGUUGGUGGAAUUCCAGGGGUAGCGGUGAAAUCCGUAGAUAUCAGGAGGAACAUCGAUGGCGAAGGCAACUAUCUGGCAUGUAACUGACACUGAGGAGCGAAAGCGUGGGUAGCAAACAGGAUUAGAUACCCGAGUAGUC